UAUUCUGCCCCACGGGGAAGGAUGAGAAGCUUCGACUAAGGUUCGACUCGAGCGAAGCGAGAGAACGUUGCCGCAGGCAACGGCCCGAAGGGCGAGGAGCGAUAGCGACGAGCUAUCCUUCCCCCACCACCA
rnacentral:sRNA from 1 species